CCAAGCCCAGAAAUCACGGCCCGUAUCCGUCAAGGCUUCAACGCACAAUCCCAGGACGCAGUCGUGCGCCUCCCCCGCCUCUCCAUCCAAUCGCGUCGCCGCCUCCAUUCCUACUGGUGACCACAGAGCAACGCGCUUGCCGGCCGGCCUCCAUGCUCGCGCUCGCUCCCGUGGCCGGCCGCGCCACGGCUAGCAACCGAGGGUAGGGGAUAACGAGGCAAGGGAUAGGCAUGGCCCUGAUGGCCGACGAGGUCGACGAUGGCGCUCGGCGACGGUCGCGGCCGGCGGAUGUGACGCGGGAGGAGAAAGGUCACCGCGGCGCAGGAAUGACGGUGGGGUGGAUGUGAGCUGGUGGUCGCAUGCCCGGGGUGUUGCUGCCGGCGACCAUGUCCACGAACUGCUGCCGCCGGUCACAUUCCAGAGCUGCUACUCCUACUGGCGGCCGCAACUUCGACUUGCUGUAGCCGGCAGCUUCACCAACCAUCUGCUGGCAGGGAUUUGGAUUAGGUCUUUCGCCAACUAUUAACAUGCGGGAUGACUGUCUGUUGGGGAGUUCGAUGAUGGGCAAGACAAGGUGCAGGCUUAUUUUCAGAUCUUGCCUCCCCUCCUACUCCUAUGAUGUGUAUUCUACAGAAAUGUAACUACAAUUUGUUUCCUCUUAUAUACAGCCUUCAACACUUAUUGAUGCAGAGGCUGGGCGAUGCCCCAUUUCGGAAAAAAAUACAGCCUUCAGCACUUAUGGUUCACAAAUUCUCCUUCAUCGCGCAUAACAUCUAUGGAUUUCUAAUAGUGAAAAUAUAGUCAAUCAGUGUAUUUAAGAUUCUGCGAAAUCGUAAAUGGAGAUUCGUUUUUUGAACCACUCAUCAUAUAUGAGAAGCCGGUGUAUCGUGCUACAAAACAGAAGUCCCGAUCCCUUUAUUCUCUUUAGUAUUCAGUUUCGAUUUUGUGUACUAAAAAUUAGAAAGAUGCCUCCUACAUGUAAAGCAUACAUUCGGCUAUGUACGUGUCCUUCUCUAUCAGUUAUUAUUUGACCAAUGUAUUUCAAGUAUUGCAUUAAUCUCACCAUACUUUCUGAACAUGAAUUACAAACAGUGGUAUUGUGGUAUUCUGAUUGUGUGGCACCCCUUCUCUCUCUCUUCUUAAGUUCUUAUUAGAUUUAUAAUAUAUCAUGCUUGAUAUAUAUAUGCAGCAAAUGUUUGUUCUCAUAUCAUGCAUCUGGAGUCAGUCUUUACAGUUUAUCUUUAUGCUCUGUAGUUUUGAGUUCUGUAGUAAGAUGGAUGACUCUACUCUAAGUUUCCCUCAUAUAUAUAUGCUAUUGGCAAACCUGAACCUCUCCUUUGGUUGGUUGCACUUGCGGAUUUAUGUGGAUGGAACUACCACCAUGUCCACCCAGGAAAGCGAGCAUCAGGAAAUGAAUUCUACUGUAGACUCACAUACCAUUUGUUCAUAGUUGAACUGAAUGGUGAUUAUUUUGCUUAGAAGCAUACAAUGUUUGUAGUUUGUGAUACUAAUAAGAAUUGUAUGCAACUGUGAUAUUUUCCUCAUGCAAUUUCUGGAUGGGAUCAGCGACGCUGGCGACCAAAGGUAGACGAUGGUCUGUUUAGAGGGAUAAAGGAGGACACAUGAGGCGGGAUAGAGCAAAGGGCCGGUCUAUUCCGAGAUAAAUGAGUGCGGGAUCACGCCAUGUUUGCUAGGAGUCUAAAUCGACUCGCUGCUUAGACAAGAUUAGAUGGAAGGACGGUGAGGAGCUUGUGUUCACCAGUUGCGCCACAACGUGGGAGAUAUGGUAGAGAAAGAUGCGACAAUGUAGAGUUUGUUUCUCCACCGAUGCCAAGGCUGUUCAAGGGAAGAGGAGAUGCACAUCGGUGACUCUGAUUUUUCUAUUUGAGAGUAUGGCAUAAUCCGUGUGCACCGAAUUCUUCGUCCCAACAUUCAGCACUGAUAAACCAAUGGGAUGAUUGAAGGUGGCACAUAAACAGUGGCAGAGCUAGGGGAGCUGAUGAUCGGAGGUGCAUGCUGGUGCCCAAGUUGCCUAAAAACCGAUUUUAGGGGUAGCACACAUGGAGUAUGGGAUCCUAUUUUCCUGAAUAUCUCGUGCUCCUCUACCGUGCAAUAUUGCUUCCUCAUGUGUGGUAAUCUUUUUUUUCUUGAGAAAGGAAUUCAAUCAUUUUUUACAUCACUAGGGAGAAUUGUCUCGUAAAGAAUCUCAUGAUGGCUCAUAUGCAACGACUGAGCAGGUUCCUUUAUAAUAUUUCUCGCUGGCAAGUUUGAGAGGGAAGUGAAAGGAAGUGAAUAUGAUGCGACUGCAGGAGUUAUGCAAGACAUGAAAUCAAGCCAACAUUUCCUAGGGUGCUAUGCUCCUAAAGAAUUCAUGUCUACAAGGACACAAGCCUAGCGUUAAGAGUUUAUCGUCCAUUUUCGAUGCAUAUGAAAUAAUGGGAAAUCAUGAAGAAGGCCUCUAUUUGCUUCAAUGCAUCUGGGAGCAUGUCCUAAACUCCGGUAACUUGGGAUAGAGAUCUGGUGCACAUGGCCACCACUGAUCUCAUUUUUUUAACAAAAUCAAAAAUCAUAUUUUUUUGAGUUUCAAAAAGUUCUAAAAACAAAUCAGAAUAUAGUCUACGAUGUAUCUCAUAAAUGUGUAAACAAUCAAUAUAAUAUAGUUUUUUCUAAAUUUCGCAAAAAUGACAAAGUGUAGGUUUGAGUAGUCAUUUUCAAAUCUCCAAAACAUAUCAGAUUUUGUUAUUUUUGAUUUGCACAAAAUAAAAAUAAUUCUAGGUUGAGAUUUUGCAUGAUUGUGGGAUGUAUCACGGACAAUCUCCAAAAAUAUUUUCAUAUUUUUUUAGUAACUUGUAAAAAUAUCUUUUAAAUUUUUUAGAAUGGCGAGAGCACAGGAGGUCGGGAGCCAAAAUCACUUUUCGCAUAACUUCAUAUUUGAAUGUUCCAUGACCCCAAGGAUAGGCAAGAACAUGAAUUUGUAUGAUUUUACAUGCAUCUACGCUGGUUUAAAUACCCUACUACGUGGUUUAAAUAUCCUAAUACCAGAAUCAUACGAAGUGGAAAAGAGCUGUGAAAGCAUUACAUUUUGGCUGUCACGGAUUGCUGCUCAUGAAGAGCAUGGUUUCCCAGGUUUUGUGCUUCAUUUUCUUUGUUGGUGGAUGUGAUGCAUAAGCUUGACUUUUCUAAUAAUUGGCAUUCCAUUUGUCUUAGAACUACAGCUCACGGUAUCAAAAGCCAGAGUUUUCUGUUAA